rnacentral:rRNA from 1 species
UACAGAGGGCUCGAGCGUUGUUCGGAUUCAUUGGGCGUAAAGGGUGCGUAGGUGGCGCCGUAAGUCGGGUGUGAAAUUUCGGAGCUUAACUCCGAAACUGCAUUCGAUACUGCGGUGCUUGAGGACUGGAGAGGAGACUGGAAUUCAUGGUGUAGCAGUGAAAUGCGUAGAGAUCAUGAGGAAGACCAGUGGCGAAGGCGGGUCUCUGGACAGUUCCUGACACUGAGGCACGAAGGCCAGGGGAGCAAACGGG